AAGUGCGAGAUAAAUUGGCGCACUACUUCGUCACAGACGGUCAGGUGCCUUGGCAGGACAAAGUGGUGAACAGCACUUGAGGCGUACAAGGUGAAGGUGUCGACACGAGUCUCCUCAGCCGUAUCAGGGGUACGUUCCGGUUCCGCUGCAUGUCUUGGCCGAGGCGGUGAUCUGCAGUGAUGAAAAUUUCUUUCUAUGUAUUUCAUGAUGCCGCUAGUACAUGAACAGUUUUAGGCAUUCUUUGGGAGUUAAAAUGCCAUUAUGAUUUCACUCAACACGAGGUUUAUUUUACACUUGCGUUACCUCUUGAUUGAGCACUGCUGUAUGGAAGGUGUGCAUACAGAAGUUUAUUGUGCCUAUUAUGUUAAUAAAAUGCUAUGUAGGCUGCACAUCUAAAUGAGAACAAGAGAUAUUGU